AUACUUGGGGCUUGAUCCAAAGUACAUUGAAGUCAAUGGGAGUCUUCCCAUUACGUCAAUGGGCUUUGGUUCAGGCCUUAAAGUU
rnacentral:pre_miRNA from 1 species